CAGUCGCCGCGGUAAUACGUAGGUGGCAAGCGUUGUCCGGAAUUAUUGGGCGUAAAGGGCUCGCAGGCGGUUUCUUAAGUCUGAUGUGAAAGCCCCCGGCUCAACCGGGGAGGGUCAUUGGAAACUGGGAAACUUGAGUGCAGAAGAGGAGAGUGGAAUUCCACGUGUAGCGGUGAAAUGCGUAGAUAUGCGGAGGAACACCAGUGGCGAAGGCGACUCUCUGGUCUGUAACCGACGCUGAGGAGCGAAAGCGUGGGGAGCGAACAGGAUUAGAUACCCCAGUAGUCCCUGUCUCUUAUAC
rnacentral:rRNA from 1 species